UCUGGUUAUCUCAUCAGAGGAGUUUUAACCAAGACCGUUGAUAAGAAUGCUCCUUCAAACACAGUCUCCAAUGGCUCACAGAAAAGUGCCAAGAGUGCCAACUCUGCUCCUGGAUACAGGAUGUCAACUGAGGAUUAUAAGAGACUAGCUCCCUACAAUGUCAAGCGGGACACAGAGCCAGAUCGCGUGGAUCUCCC